CAUAGGUUAUUCUAAGUCCCAGGAUCCCAAUCAUUACACAUCUUUUUCAUGAAUCCUCUAUCUAUCCUGUGCAAAAAGUAUCUAUCAUAAUGUGAGAAAUGAAACUUAGCAACGACAAUGGGUCCCUCUGAGAAUUCAAAGAAUCUUUGGGAGUGCUGUGACAAAGAUUUGCUAAUGGGAAAAAAGAUAUUUUCACUUAGAGAUGUCCCACAAUACUCCUAUCUGUACUGGGUCAUUGUUUCCUUCAUGUCUCCAGACCACAAAUUCCAUGGGUGCUCCUUAAUUUUAGGUCCAAGCCUCUACUGGUAAUAAUGGCUUCCCUUUACAUCAGUUCUUUUCCUAGCUUCAACUUUACUGAUGAGAACGUAUUUUGUCUUCCAUAUCUGGUUCACCUGCUCUGGGAGGGAGCAGGUUCUUGGAAUCCACUCCCGGUGGGACUCUGUGGAAUAUGAGAGGCCAUCUUCUCCCUACUCCUAGACAGUGACUGCAUCAUCCUAGCAGUGAACUUGAAUUUUUGGGCACUGCCUGUCCAACUGUGCAUAGCUGGUUUCUACCCGUGACUGGUGGAGGAUUAUGGCUCACAGUGGUGAUGAUAAACUGAAGAGAGUGAGUUAUCUGAAAUCACACACCUAUGAGUUGGCAGAAAGCAGAGUGGACUGAGGCUUUCUGCAUCCUCCAAAUUUUCUACUUUUGUCUGCUGCCUCCCUUGGCCAUUCUAGAGCCUCAUGUGAUGCAAGGAUAUGAUGACAAAAAGAGCAACAAUAUCGUCUCUUGGAUGUGAAAGGGACAGUAUGCAUCCCACAAAAGGCAGAAAUUCAGAAUGAAACUGGUAAAGACAAAGCACAGAUGGCUGUGUUGCCAGGACUCGAGCCUCCCUGCUCACCCACAUGGUCCAGGUGGAUUUCAGAGGAGUCUUCACUUCCACACUCCCUCCCGUGGCCCUGCUGGCUUAAUUAGAGGGGCCAGCCUGGUCUUUCUCACGGGGCCCUGUGGGAAUGCCCUUUGAUGCUGGUGGGGAUCCUAGGGCUGACUGAGAGGAUAGAAUGAGAAGCUGGCUCCAGGGGAGUAUGUGAUCUCAGAGCUGGGUCACGGUGAGAGCAGGCACCACCUGGGAGGAUAGUUUCAUGCUAGCUGAGGCGGUCAGUCUCCACCAGGCUAGCUGCAGUCAAAUGCAGGCGUUUACCUUAGUUAAACCUUGAGUGACUGCCUGGGUACCAGCAAUGAGCAUACUUGGUGAGCCUGGGUUCCGUACCCUCAUGCCUGGUCAGCUUUCUGAAGCAGUAGGAUUGCUCAGGUUCUCUGUUCAGGCUUCCUGCUGAAACUGUUACAGAAAACGAGCGUACUGUAAUGGAGCCCAGAACCUGAUUCGUGGCUAAACCAUAGGACGGCUUUAACCCCACCCCAUUCUUACCACCCCGCCUCCUCACACCUGUCACUUAGAUCUGAGAGCACUGGCCUUUUCCCUUACUGUCUGU